CUCAUUUGAUCCUCGCCACAGUCCUGGGAGUCUAUUAUCCAGCUGGAAUUCACUGUGGUAUUUGAUAUAUUGGACAGUGGCUCAGGAAUGGGAUCUGCCGAUUCUUUCAGAGCACAAAGACGGAGUUCAUCUGAGCCAGAUGGCUUGAAUUCAUCAAGGGCAGGGCAUUAUGAGAUCUCAAAAGGCAACUGGAAUCUUGCCCUCUUCCUGGGUACCUGAGUAACGGACUACCAGAGCAGUUGCAGCAGCAACAGAAGGUCUGCCAUCUUGCUUCUCAACUCUCCAAACAGGACCACCAGAAACCAUGCUUGGAAGGAGCUAAGACUCUGAGUUCUGUACUUCCUGAGACCAUGGGCUCCUCAUUUUCUCUCCUGGUCAUUUUGAACCCUGCCGCAGUCAGUGUACCUCCCUAUCCCCAACUCCUCACUUCUGUAUUCCCUACUUCUUUCUCUGAGAAUUGCAAUAAAAGCACUAUUACCAAUUCCUCUGGAAAGGGUGCAUUAACGGACUACACUCUUGUUCCACUCACCAUCUUCGUGACUUUUCAAACCAUAACUCCCUUUCCUGGCCACCACUUACCUAAAUGUGUUGUU